rnacentral:rRNA from 1 species
UGCAGUCGAACGGAUCCUUCGGGAUUAGUGGCAGACGGGUGAGUAACGCGUGGGAAGCUACCUUGUGGUAGGGGACAACAGUUGGAAACGACUGCUAAUACCCUAUGAGCCCUAUGGGGGAAAGAUUUAUCGCCAUGAGAUGUGCCCGCGUUAGAUUAGCUAGUUGGUAAGGUAAUGGCUUACCAAGGCGACGAUCUAUAGCUGGUCUGAGAGGAUGAUCAGCCACACUGGGACUGAGACACGGCCCAGACUCCUACGGGAGGCAGCAGUGGGGAAUAUUGGACAAUGGGGGCAACCCUGAUCCAGCCAUGCCGCGUGUGUGAUGACGGCCUUAGGGUUGUAAAGCACUUUCAGCAGUGAAGAUAAUGACAUUAACUGCAGAAGAAGCCCCGGCUAACUUCGUGCCAGCAGCCGCGGUAAUACGAAGGGGGCUAGCGUUGUUCGGAAUCACUGGGCGUAAAGAGUACGUAGGCGGACUGAUAAGUUAGGGGUGAAAUCCCAAGGCUCAACCUUGGAACUGCCUUUGAUACUGUCAGUCUUGAGAUCGAGAGAGGUGAGUGGAACUCCGAGUGUAGAGGUGAAAUUCGUAGAUAUUCGGAAGAACACCAGUGGCGAAGGCGGCUCACUGGCUCGAUACUGACGCUGAGGUACGAAAGCGUGGGGAGCAAAACAGGAUUAGAUACCCUGGU